rnacentral:rRNA from 1 species
UACGUAGGGGGCUAGCGUUGUUCGGAAUUACUGGGCGUAAAGCGCGCGCAGGCGGUUCUCCAAGUCAGUGGUGAAAGCCCCGAGCUCAACUCCGGAAUUGCCAUUGAAACUGUUGAACUUGAGGACGAGAGAGGUGAGUGGAAUUCCCAGUGUAGAGGUGAAAUUCGUAGAUAUUGGGAAGAACACCGGUGGCGAAGGCGGCUCACUGGCUCGUUUCUGACGCUCAGGCGCGACAGCGUGGGGAUCAAACAGG